rnacentral:rRNA from 1 species
GUCUGUGGCAUAAAUGGUAUUCCUGUCUAGCCCAAUCCCUUCUGAUCUCGGAAGCUAAGCAGGGUCGGGCCUGGUUAGUACUUGGAUGGGAGACCACCUAGGAAGACCAGGAGCUGUAGGCG